CGGCCGCCCUGGCCCCGACCCAGACCCAGGCGGGCUCACACUCGCUGCGGUAUUUCGACAUCGCUGUGUCCCGGCCCGGCCUCGGGGAGCCCCGGUUCAUUAUCGUCGGCUACGUGGACGACAGGGAGGUCAUGCGCUUCGACAGCGACGCGGAGAAUCCGAGGAUGAAGCCUCGGGCGCGGUGGAUGGAGCGGGAGGGGCCGGAGUAUUGGGAGCGGCAGACACGGAAAGUCAAGGAAAAGGAGCAGAUUUUCCGAGACAACCUGAGGACCCUGCUCCGCUACUACAACCAGAGCGAGGGCGGCUCUCACACCAUCCAGUGGAUGUCUGGCUGUGAC
rnacentral:lncRNA from 1 species